GUGCCUAAUACAUGCAAGUCGAACGCGUUGGCCCAAUUGAUUGAUGGUGCUUGCACCUGAUUGAUUUUGGUCGCCAACGAGUGGCGGACGGGUGAGUAACACGUAGGUAACCUGCCCAGAAGCGGGGGACAACAUUUGGAAACAGAUGCUAAUACCGCAUAACAGCGUUGUUCGCAUGAACAACGCUUAAAAGAUGGCUUCUCGCUAUCACUUCUGGAUGGACCUGCGGUGCAUUAGCUUGUUGGUGGGGUAACGGCCUACCAAGGCGAUGAUGCAUAGCCGAGUUGAGAGACUGAUCGGCCACAAUGGGACUGAGACACGGCCCAUACUCCUACGGGAGGCAGCAGUAGGGAAUCUUCCACAAUGGGCGCAAGCCUGAUGGAGCAACACCGCGUGAGUGAAGAAGGGUUUCGGCUCGUAAAGCUCUGUUGUUAAAGAAGAACACGUAUGAGAGUAACUGUUCAUACGUUGACGGUAUUUAACCAGAAAGUCACGGCUAACUACGUGCCAGCAGCCGCGGUAAUACGUAGGUGGCAAGCGUUAUCCGGAUUUAUUGGGCGUAAAGAGAGUGCAGGCGGUUUUCUAAGUCUGAUGUGAAAGCCUUCGGCUUAACCGGAGAAGUGCAUCGGAAACUGGAUAACUUGAGUGCAGAAGAGGGUAGUGGAACUCCAUGUGUAGCGGUGGAAUGCGUAGAUAUAUGGAAGAACACCAGUGGCGAAGGCGGCUACCUGGUCUGCAACUGACGCUGAGACUCGAAAGCAUGGGUAGCGAACAGGAUUAGAUACCCUGGUAGUCCAUGCCGUAAACGAUGAGUGCUAGGUGUUGGAGGGUUUCCGCCCUUCAGUGCCGGAGCUAACGCAUUAAGCACUCCGCCUGGGGAGUACGACCGCAAGGUUGAAACUCAAAGGAAUUGACGGGGGCCCGCACAAGCGGUGGAGCAUGUGGUUUAAUUCGAAGCUACGCGAAGAACCUUACCAGGUCUUGACAUCUUGCGCCAACCCUAGAGAUAGGGCGUUUCCUUCGGGAACGCAAUGACAGGUGGUGCAUGGUCGUCGUCAGCUCGUGUCGUGAGAUGUUGGGUUAAGUCCCGCAACGAGCGCAACCCUUGUUACUAGUUGCCAGCAUUAAGUUGGGCACUCUAGUGAGACUGCCGGUGACAAACCGGAGGAAGGUGGGGACGACGUCAGAUCAUCAUGCCCCUUAUGACCUGGGCUACACACGUGCUACAAUGGACGGUACAACGAGUCGCGAACUCGCGAGGGCAAGCAAAUCUCUUAAAACCGUUCUCAGUUCGGACUGCAGGCUGCAACUCGCCUGCACGAAGUCGGAAUCGCUAGUAAUCGCGGAUCAGCAUGCCGCGGUGAAUACGUUCCCGGGCCUUGUACACACCGCCCGUCACACCAUGAGAGUUUGUAACACCCAAAGUCGGUGGGGUAACCUUUUAGGAGCCAGCCGCCUAAGGU
rnacentral:rRNA from 2 species